rnacentral:rRNA from 1 species
UGGGGAAUUUUCCGCAAUGGGCGAGAGCCUGACGGAGCAACGCCGCGUGAGGGAGGACGGCCUGUGGGUUGUAAACCUCUUUUCUCAGGGAAGAAGAACUGACGGUACCUGAGGAAUCAGCAUCGGCUAACUCCGUGCCAGCAGCCGCGGUAAGACGGAGGAUGCAAGCGUUAUCCGGAAUUAUUGGGCGUAAAGCGUCCGUAGGCGGCUUAAUAAGUCUGCUGUUAAAGGUCACAGCUCAACUGUGAAACGGCAGUGGAAACUAUUAGGCUAGAGCGUGGUAGGGGUAGAGGGAAUUCCUAGUGUAGCGGUGAAAUGCGUAGAUAUUAGGAAGAACACCAGUGGCGAAGGCGCUCUACUGGGCCAUGACUGACGCUGAUGGACGAAAGCUAGGGGAGCGAAAGGGAUUAGAUACCCCCGUAGUCC